rnacentral:tRNA from 1 species
GGAGGGAUGGCUGAGUGGUUUAAGGCAUUGGUUUGCUAAAUCAACGUACAAAUUUUAUUGUACCAUGGGUUCGAAUCCCUUUCCCUCCA